rnacentral:tRNA from 7 species
GCGGGAAUAGCUCAGUUGGUAGAGCACGACCUUGCCAAGGUCGGGGUCGCGAGUUUGAGUCUCGUUUCCCGCUCCA